AGCUAAAGCUAAAGUUCCAUUAAAAGAGUAUUUACGUGUGAUUAAUGCGUUUUCUUCUCUCAUCCAUUUUGCUUCCGCAGUACUUCCUAGAGCUAAUGAAGGUUCCAGGAGUAGAAUCGAAGCUGAGAGU
rnacentral:sRNA from 1 species